AUUGAACGCUGGCGGCAUGCCUUACACAUGCAAGUCGAACGGUAACGCGGGGCAACCUGGCGACGAGUGGCGAACGGGUGAGUAAUGCAUCGGAACGUGCCCAGUAGUGGGGGAUAGCCCGGCGAAAGCCGGAUUAAUACCGCAUACGACCUACGGGUGAAAGGGGGGGAUCGCAAGACCUCUCGCUAUUGGAGCGGCCGAUGUCAGAUUAGGUAGUUGGGGGGGUAAAGGCCUACCAAGCCUACGAUCUGUAGCUGGUCUGAGAGGACGACCUGCAAGCCUGGGACUGAGACACGGCCCAGACUCCUACGGGAGGCAGCAGUGGGGAAUUUUGGACAAUGGGCGCAAGCCUGAUCCAGCCAUGCCGCGUGCGGGAAGAAGACCUUCGGGUUGUAAACCGCUUUUGUCAGGGAAGAAACGCUCUGGACUAAUACUCUGGGGUAAUGACGGUACCUGAAGAAUAAGCACCGGCUAACUACGUGCCAGCAGCCGCGGUAA
rnacentral:rRNA from 1 species